rnacentral:rRNA from 1 species
AAUGAACGCUGGCGGCAUGCCUAAUACAUGCAAGUCGAGCGAGCGCACCGGAGGCAGGCUCCUCUGGGGUUAUCGGCCGACGGAUGAUUAACACUUGUAUAACCUAGCUAUAGGACUGUGAGAGCUUCGGGGAACCCGAGCUAAGACCGGAUAAUAUUUUGAACCACAUGGUUCAAGAGUGAGAUAAGGUCUUUCUGUGACUUAUAGAUGGAUCAGCGCUGCAUUGGCUAGUUGGUAAGGUAACGGCUUACCAAGGCAACGAUGCAGAGCCGACCUCAGCGGGUGGACCGACACACUGGAACUGAGACACGGUCCAGACUCCUACGCGAGGACGCAGCAGGGACUCCUCCGCAAGGGGCGAAUGCCUAACGGAGCACAGCCGCGUGAGUGCUGAAGUACUUAGGCUGGUAAAACUAUGAUAUUCGGGAAGAUGUUAUGUGCAAGUAACUGUGAACAUCUUGACGGUACCUAAACAGAAAGCCACGGCUAACUCCGUG